UGAAUUGCAGGACACAUUGAACAUCGACAUCUUGAACGCAUAUUGCGGCCUAGGGUCACUCCCUUGGCCACGCCUGUCUCAGGGUCGGUUAAACAUCUUCGCAAGUAAUUGCGCAUUUGGGCUGUCGCAGUCCUCCUUCGGGACUCCGUCGCCUCAAGUUCAGACCCGAUUGCCUUCGCACGUCGUCGGGCCCCUCUCGACCACACACGACGCAGCUCGCUUACAAGCACUGCGCCGGUGGAGCUAGGGCCUAUUUCCGUGUUGAGGGCGGUCGACGCUUCGGACGAGUCGCACGACUCUCCAUCCUCCGACCUGAGAUCAGACGAGACAACCCCCUGAAUUUAAGCAUAUCACUAAGGGGAGGAAAAGAAACUAACUAGGAUUCCCUCAGUAACGGCGAGUGAAGCGGGAAGAGC
rnacentral:rRNA from 1 species